GUGGGGAAUAUUGGACAAUGGGCGAAAGCCUGAUCCAGCCAUGCCGCGUGUGUGAAGAAGGUCUUCGGAUUGUAAAGCACUUUAAGUUGGGAGGAAGGGCAGUAAGUUAAUACCUUGCUGUUUUGACGUUACCGACAGAAUAAGCACCGGCUAACUUCGUGCCAGCAGCCGCGGUAAUACGAAGGGUGCAAGCGUUAAUCGGAAUUACUGGGCGUAAAGCGCGCGUAGGUGGUUUUGUAAGUUGGAGGUGAAAUCCCCGGGCUCAACCUGGGAACUGCCUCCAAAACUGCAUGACUAGAGUACGGUGGAGGGUAGUGGAAUUUCCUGUGUAGCGGUGAAAUGCGUAGAUAUAGGAAGGAACACCAGUGGCGAAGGCGACUACCUGGACUGAUACUGACACUGAGGUGCGAAAGCGUGGGGAGCAAACAGGAUUAGAAACCCGGGUAGUCC
rnacentral:rRNA from 1 species